rnacentral:rRNA from 1 species
GACGAACGCUGGCGGCGUGCUUAACACAUGCAAGUCGAACGGAAAGGCCCCCUUGUGGGGUACUCGAGUGGCGAACGGGUGAGUAACACGUGAGUAACCUACCCCUGACUUUGGGAUAACUUCAGGAAACUGGGGCUAAUACCGGAUAGGAGCUCCUGCUGCAUGGUGGGGGUUGGAAAGUUUCGGCGGUUGGGGAUGGACUCGCGGCUUAUCAGCUUGUUGGUGGGGUAGUGGCUCACCAAGGCUUUGACGGGUAGCCGGCCUGAGAGGGUGACCGGCCACAUUGGGACUGAGAUACGGCCCAGACUCCUACGGGAGGCAGCAGUGGGGAAUAUUGCACAAUGGGCGGAAGCCUGAUGCAGCAACGCCGCGUGCGGGAUGACGGCCUUCGGGUUGUAAACCGCCUUCGCCUGUGACGAAGCGUGAGUGACGGUAAUGGGUAAAGAAGCACCGGCUAACUACGUG